rnacentral:rRNA from 2 species
GAAGCACUUACACAUGCAGUCGAGCGCCCCGCAAGGGGAGCGGCAGACGGGUGAGUAACGCGUGGGAACGUACCAUUUGCUACGGAAUAACUCAGGGAAACUUGUGCUAAUACCGUAUGUGCCCGAAAGGGGAAAGAUUUAUCGGCAAAUGAUCGGCCCGCGUUGGAUUAGCUAGUUGGUGGGGUAAAGGCCUACCAAGGCGACGAUCCAUAGCUGGUCUGAGAGGAUGAUCAGCCACACUGGGACUGAGACACGGCCCAGACUCCUACGGGAGGCAGCAGUGGGGAAUAUUGGACAAUGGGCGCAAGCCUGAUCCAGCCAUGCCGCGUGAGUGAUGAAGGCCCUAGGGUUGUAAGGCUCUUUCACCGCUAAAAAUAGGGACGUUACCCGAAAAUAAGGCCCCGGCUAGAUUCUGGCCAGCGCCCCGGUGAUCCCGAAGGGGCCAAACGUUGAUCGGAAUGUACCGGGCCGUAAAGGCG